CUUCAUCCCCACCGAGCCUUAUCCUCUUCCCAGGAUCCAGCCAGGACUUAUCUUCUUCCUCUCGCCUUUCCUCUUGAUCCGGGACGAAGCAGAGCCACACCACCGAAGGCCUCCUCCCCCGCCCUCCAACCCACGUCAGGGACUGCAAGCCCGCCGCCCCAAGCCCGCUGCAAUCCAACACAGUCGCCACCAGCUGCUACAAGCAAUUUUUUUGCCGCGGUGCCGCCGCUCGCAGCGGCGAUCGGGGAUGACGAACGACGUUGCUACGUCGGGGGAGAAGCAUGCUUUUGCAAGGGGCGCACUGCAACAUGGGGCCAGCUGCGAGGGUUGGGGGUCGCCGUUCGCAGCUGCUGCCAUGGAGCAUCUGGAAGCACCGUCGAGAGUCAUCGGCGCUGCGAGGCAACACUCGCCGGAGCCAGCCGGUGGCGAUGCAGCAUUCAAGCCACCGCAAAAUUGGAGGGGGCGCGACGCGCAGGGCAUAGGUGCUGUGGUGCAACCUCGUCGACACGCUGACGCUGAGAUGCAGCCUCAUCGGCGCUGCUGGUGCUGCAAGUCGCCGGCGGUGAAGCUGCAAUGGAGAGCUCGCCGGCAGCAACCCCGUGCUCCGAUGCAGCACUCACUUGGGGCGGCUCCCCGUGCAGCAGCGUAGCGCUUGCCGGCGGCUCUCGAAGCUCGGUGCUUCAAUGGAGCUUUCACGCGGCGGGUACUGUGCUCCGAUGCAACGCUCGUCGCCGGUGCUACAACGCAUCACCAAGGAGGAGACAAGAGGCGGCGGCACUCACUGUGUUGUUGCAACGCAGCACGCAAGGGGCGGCAGGCGGCUACUCGUGCUCCGUUGCAACACUCGCCGACGGCUUGGGAUUUUGCAUGGCAGCACUCGCUGGCGACUCCCGAUGUUGAGAGAUCGAAGGAGGGAGAGGGGCCUGUUUGUGCGGUGGGAGGAGAAGACUGCGUGUGUUGACUAUUCAACCACUGAGAGAUCGCAUCGCGGGAAUGGAAUCCGAACAAAUCGACAAACUUAAAAUCCGCCGGGUGCAAGGUCGUCUGCGAUCUCAUCGAGGGCCACGCGGAAGGUCGACUCCUGUGAUCUCGUCAAGGGCCACGCGAAGCGACUGCUGUCGUUCGGCCACACCAACCAUGGCGCCGGCGGGGAAUCUAUACUGCUCCCCUCAAUUGAACUGAUGCACCGUCUUGGCUUUGGUCAGAAGUGGCGCAACAUUUUAUCUCUGCUCUGGAGCUCCUCUUCCUCUCGGGUGAUGGUUAAUGGUGAACUGGGGCAGAGCUUCCUUCACCGUCGCGGACGCUCCGGCAGGGAGACCCACUGUCGCCCAUGUUAUUCACCAUCGCCAUCGCCCCACUUCACUGGAUGUUUCGAGAAGGCCUGCUCAGCUCAAUGGGUGCUCUUUCCACUUUGCAGCUCCCUCCCUCCCAGCUCAGGGUUAGUCUGUAUGCCGAUGAUACGGCUCUUUUCGUCUCGCCUUUACGUCAGAUAUUGAGGUGACCAAGGAGAUUCUGAACUGUUUUGGGAAGGCAUCUGGCCUCAUGGCUAAUCUGGUAAAGAGUGGCGUUAAUCCUAUUGCUUGUGACCAGGUUGAUCUGGAUGCUCUUCUUCCGAAUUUUUCAA